rnacentral:sRNA from 1 species
CCGCUACCGGUGCGGUGGCAGCCUCGGCCGCCUCGGGUCAGGCGGAAGGUAAAAAAAUCACCGAUCUGCGGGUCAUCGAUCUCAAAUCCGAGCUGAAGCGGCGGAACUUAGACAUCACCGGAGUCAAGACCGUGCUCAUCUCCCGACUCAAGCAGGCUAUUGAAGAGGAAGGAGGCGAUCCAGAUAAUAUUGAAUUAACUGUUUCAACUGAUACUCCAAACAAGAAACCAACUAAAGGCAAAGGUAAAAAACAUGAAGCAGAUGAGUUGAGUGGAGAUGCUUCUGUGGAAGAUGAUGCUUUUAUCAAGGACUGUGAAUUGGAGAAUCAAGAGGCACAUGAGCAAGAUGGAAAUGAUGAACUAAAGGACUCUGAAGAAUUUGGUGAAAAUGAAGAAGAAAAUGUGCAUUCCAAGGAGUUACUCUCUGCAGAAGAAAACAAGAGAGCUCAUGAAUUAAUAGAGGCAGAAGGAAUAGAAGAUAUAGAAAAAGAGGACAUCGAAAGUCAGGAAAUUGAAGCUCAAGAAGGUGAAGAUGAUACCUUUCUAACAGCCCAAGAUGGUGAGGAAGAAGAAAAUGAGAAAGGGGCAACAGUAGCAAUACAUGUGGUCAGUAGGAGGUUAUGGAAGAGUCCUUGGACAGAAGUCAAAGGAUCCUACUUUGGACUAGAAAGGACAUGGAGCAGGGUUAAGCAAGGCAAAUAAAAAGCCUAGAAGCAAUGAUGAAGUGAAGCUACUGACUGAAAAUCUCACAUGCCCGAAGCCUUUCUGUUUUGGGGGAAUGCAAGACAUAUUUGAAAACGGUAAUUGCAGACUGACUGGACAGGAUGAAGACUGGAAAUAACCAAUUUCCUGAACGUCACGGAGCAGGAGCAUCUUUGGAGCCUUCUGUACCAGUUUUCCAUACGAAUCUGGACUACUCAAGCAU